GGGUAGGGGAGCGUUCUGUAAGCCUGUGAAGGUGGCCUGUGAGGGUUGCUGGAGGUAUCAGAAGUGCGAAUGCUGACAUAAGUAACGAUAAAGCGGGUGAAAAGCCCGCUCGCCGGAAGACCAAGGGUUCCUGUCCAACGUUAAUCGGGGCAGGGUGAGUCGACCCCUAAGGCGAGGCCGAAAGGCGUAGUCGAUGGGAAACGGGUUAAUAUUCCCGUACUUGGUGUUACUGCGAAGGGGGGACGGAGAAGGCUAUGUUGGCCGGGCGACGGUUGUCCCGGUUUAAGCGUGUAGGUGUGUGUUCCAGGUAAAUCCGGUUCACUUUAACACUGAGGCGUGAUGACGAGGCACUACGGUGCUGAAGCAACAAAUGCCCUGCUUCCAGGAAAAGCCUCUAAGCAUCAGGUAACAUCAAAUCGUACCCCAAACCGACACAGGUGGUCAGGUAGAGAAUACCAAGGCGCUUGAGAGAACUCGGGUGAAGGAACUAGGCAAAAUGGUGCCGUAACUUCGGGAGAAGGCACGCUGACAUGUAGGUGAAGUGAUUUACUCAUGGAGCUGAAGUCAGUCGAAGAUACCAGCUGGCUGCAACUGUUUAUUAAAAACACAGCACUGUGCAAACACGAAAGUGGACGUAUACGGUGUGACGCCUGCCCGGUGCCGGAAGGUUAAUUGAUGGGGUCAGCGCAAGCGAAGCUCCUGAUCGAAGCCCCGGUAAACGGCGGCCGUAACUAUAACGGUCCUAAGGUAGCGAAAUUCCUUGUCGGGUAAGUUCCGACCUGCACGAAUGGCGUAAUGAUGGCCAGGCUGUCUCCACCCGAGACUCAGUGAAAUUGAACUCGCUGUGAAGAUGCAGUGUACCCGCGGCAAGACGGAAAGACCCCGUGAACCUUUACUAUAGCUUGACACUGAACAUUGAGCCUUGAUGUGUAGGAUAGGUGGGAGGCUUUGAAGCGUGGACGCCAGUCUGCGUGGAGCCGGCCUUGAAAUACCACCCUUUAAUGUUUGAUGUUCUAACGUGGACCCGU
rnacentral:rRNA from 1 species